AAAAGUCGUAACAAGGUCUCCGUUGGUGAACCAGCGGAGGGAUCAUUACAGAGUUAUCCAACUCCCAAACCCAUGUGAACUUAUCUCUUUGUUGCCUCGGCGCAAGCUACCCGGGACCCAGUGCCCCGGGCGGCCCGCCGGCGGACAAACCAAACUCUGUUAUCUUAGUUGAUUAUCUGAGUGUCUUAUUUAAUAAGUCAAAACUUUCAACAACGGAUCUCUUGGUUC
rnacentral:misc_RNA from 1 species